rfam:Mus musculus chromosome 14, GRC primary reference assembly.
UAAGGGAGCCAGGGCUCGGACCCCCUCCCUGAGCCCAAGGUAACUCUGAAAGUUGAGGGGCA